CAGCAGCCGCGGUAAUACGAAGGGUGCAAGCGUUAAUCGGAAUUACUGGGCGUAAGGCGUGCGUAGGCGGUGAGUUAAGUCUGCUGUGAAAUCCCCGGGCUCAACCUGGGAAUGGCAGUGGAUACUGGCUCGCUAGAGUGUGUCAGAGGAUGGUGGAAUUCCCGGUGCAGCGGUGAAAUGCGUAGAGAUCGGGAGGAACAUCAGUGGCGAAGGCGGCCAUCUGGGACAACACUGACGCUGAGGCACGAAAGCGUGGGGAGCAAACAGGAUUAGAUACCCCCGUAGUCCCUGUCUCUUAUAC
rnacentral:rRNA from 1 species